AACGAAUGCUGGCGGCGUGCUUAACACAUGCAAGUCGAACGGGCUUCAGCAGAAUACCGCUGGAGUUAGUGGCAAACGGGUGAGUAACACGUGGGUAACCUACCUCUGAAUGGGGAAUAACCCGCCGAAAGGCGAGCUAAUACCUCGUAGUACUGGAAGGUGCAAUUCCUUCCUUUUAAAGAUGGCGUCCGUAAGGGGCUAUCGUUUGGAGAGGGGCCCGCGGCCUAUCAGCUAGUUGGCGGGGUAAAGGCCCACCAAGGCAACGACGGGUAGCCGGCCUAAAAGGGCGAUCGGCCACACUGGAACUGAGACACGGCCCAGACUCCUACGGGAGGCAGCAGUGGGGAAUUUUGGACAAUGGGCGAAAGCCUGAUCCAGCAAUGCCGCGUGUGUGAAGAAGGCCUUCGGGUUGUAAAGCACUUUUGUCCGGAAAGAAAUGGCUCUGGUUAAUACCUGGGGUCGAUGACGGUACCGGAAGAAUAAGGACCGGCUAACUACGUGCCAGCCGCCGCGGUAA
rnacentral:rRNA from 1 species